UACGUAGGGUGCAAGCGUUGUCCGGAUUUAUUGGGCGUAAAGAGCUCGUAGGCGGUUUGUCGCGUCGGAUGUGAAAACCCAGGGCUCAACCUCGGGCCUGCAGUGGGUACGGGCAGACUAGAGUGCGGUAGGGGAGAUUGGAAUUCCUGGUGUAGCGGUGGAAUGCGCAGAUAUCAGGAGGAACACCGAUGGCGAAGGCAGAUCUCUGGGCCGUAACUGACGCUGAGGAGCGAAAGCGUGGGGAGCGAACAGG
rnacentral:rRNA from 1 species